GCUAGAGUGGCGGAAUUGGCAGACGCACCAGACUCAAAAUCUGGCGGUGGCAACACCAUAGGGGUUCAAGUCCCCUCUUUAGUACCA
rnacentral:tRNA from 1 species